ensembl:lncRNA
ACUUUCACCAGGGUGCAGAGGGCUACUGUACUACUUUGACCAGGGUGCAGAGGGCUAGUGCCCUACUUUGACCAGGGUGCUGGGGACUAGUACCCUACUUUGACCAGGGUGCUGAGGGCUAGUGCCCUACUCUGACCAGGGUGCUGGGCGCUAGUGCCCUACUUUGACCAGGGUGCUGGGGGCUAGUGCCCUACUUUGACCAGGGUGCUAGGGGCUAGUGCCCUACUUUGAACAGGGUGCUGGGGGCUAGUGCCCUACUCUGACCAGGGUGCUGGGCACUAGUGCCC